rnacentral:rRNA from 1 species
CACGUAGGGUGCGAGCGUUGUCCGGAAUUAUUGGGCGUAAAGAGCUCGUAGGCGGUGUGUCGCGUCGGCCGUGAAAACCUGCAGCUUAACUGUGGGCUUGCGGUCGAUACGGGCAUCACUGGAGUUCGGCAGGGGAGACUGGAAUUCCUGGUGUAGCGGUGAAAUGCGCAGAUAUCAGGAGGAACACCGGUGGCGAAGGCGGCAUCCUGGACCGAGAUUGACGCUGAUGCGCGAAAGCCAGGGGAGCAAACGGG